AUAAAAUAAUGCAUACAGAUAUCUUCAGUACAGUGGUAGCCAAUGUGGUAGCCUCUAGAUGUUGUUGGACUCCCAUCAGCCCCAGCCAGCACUGCAAAUAGUAAAGGGUGAUGGGAGUUGUAGUCCAACAACAUCUGGAAGGCAGUACAUUGGCUGUCCCAAUGACUGUAUCAACAUGUAUGUAUGUAUAUUUGCUGGGGCAAGAAAGACACACUGCAAUGAAAGUUCACUCAGAGGGUGGCCUCCACAAUGCUUUAUCAGAAGCUACAUUAGAAUUAAUGAACAUGACUAAGUUAGGUUCAUUAGUUUCAAUGGGUCUACUCUUGAGUAAAACUUAGUUGAACCCAGAGAGAUUUCAUUUUGGAAAAUCAUUUUUUGUUUCAAUUUUUUUUAAUAGCUCUCUCUCUCUAUAAUACUGCACACAUUUUAUCUCGUUUAAAUGUUGGCUCCUUGUUUUAUUGGCAUGUUCCUUUUUUCUCAUUUCUCUCCCUGCCCCCCUUCCAACCGAUCUCGCCUUUUGCCAUAACCAUGUAUGCACAUUAAUCUGAUUACUGAUUGAACUGUCACUGGCAAGAUAAACUUGUUUACCUCCUUGC